UUAGCGUUUAGGUAUAUCAGGAGAAAAUUAAAUUCCCUUAUAAUCGUUGCAGAUAAGCGCGCAUACGCUCUUUGCGAGGCGUGGAAAGAAAAUACAUGCGCGUAAGGGUGUUUGUUGGCAUUAGUGCGCUGAAAAUAAAAUGAUCAUUUUUCAAUUAUCACACAUGAAACUCUUCCGGGGCCCAGAUUUAAUAUUCCGAGAGACACUAAUGUAUAUUUAAAAUCUCUUCGCGAACAUUGGAAUUGAAAUGCCUUGGUUAUUUUUCAAAAAAAAAAUUGUGAAAUAUUUUUAUAUGCCAUUGAAAUUCUCUGUGUGCAUACCGUUAGAGCAGUGAAACGUGGAAUCAAGAAGUUCAUAUAUGUGGUGUAUAGAUAAAAGAGCGAUGGGGCUAAUAAAACUCGUCAGGUGGACUCAAAUUUCGUCCUUGUGAGAACGAGUUGGUAUAGAGGAGUGAAGGAAGGAGGAGAAAAUGGAAUGCAGACGUAGGAAUCGGCCCCUUUUAGUGAUGGUAUACGUCAUAUCAUCAGUCUUCAAAUAGUGAUUGCCUUCGGUAGUGUCGUGUCGGUUGUGUGUGCAAGUGUUUAAAAGUGCCUAGCUCCGCGAGUGUUCGACUCUUUUUUUUUUUUAGUUCCGCGAUCGAAUCUUCAUUAUAGAAUUCUUUUCUUUACUCGUUUUUCCGUUUCGAAUAAAUUUUCUUGGCAAUCCUAUUCGCGUCGCGUCGGUUUUUCGGAAAUUAGCUCCGGGAGUGUUUCGAUGGUUUUUGAAAAAUCGCGAUCGAAGUUUUUAUAGGGUGUUUCGAAAAUGUUUUCCUCGUUCUUUGUCUUCGUUUACAUAGACAAAUCGUUUCGCGCGCGUACGACUUUCUUAUAAUCGCGUUCGUUCUAUGUUUCAUCAAAGAAAAAAAAAAGUUUAUUUAUACGAGGGGGGGGGUGGGAACAGGGCUAACUUGAAUGUACUAUGCCAAUGAAGUGCUAAAGUUCCUAUUGGGACGAGCAAUUUUUCCUUAGAUGAAGUAAAUAUGGACGGAUUUUAGGGAAAGGUUGGUCGUCUUUUCUGGGGAAAUAACUGAUUAGACCUGCCUAUAUAAAACUAUAUAACCAGGAAAGUCAGUUUCUCCUUACCCGACGUAGCGGGAUAGGGACGUGCUAUGCUAACAUAACUGCACAUCAUUUGUGAACUUUAUUUCAUUGAUUUCUCGACAAGAAAAAUUUGAUUCGAAUGAAUAAAUUCGCUUUGAUUUUAAUUUGAUUUUAAUUUGAUUUUAA